CUACGGUGCUGAAGUGACAAAUGCCCUGCUUCCAGGAAAAGCCUCUAAGCAUCAGGUAACAUCAAAUCGUACCCCAAACCGACACAGGUGGUCAGGUAGAGAAUACCAAGGCGCUUGAGAGAACUCGGGUGAAGGAACUAGGCAAAAUGGUGCCGUAACUUCGGGAGAAGGCACGCUGAUAUGUAGGUGAAGCGACUUGCUCGUGGAGCUGAAAUCAGUCGAAGAUACCAGCUGGCUGCAACUGUUUAUUAAAAACACAGCACUGUGCAAACACGAAAGUGGACGUAUACGGUGUGACGCCUGCCCGGUGCCGGAAGGUUAAUUGAUGGGGUUAGCGGUAACGCGAAGCUCUUGAUCGAAGCCCCGGUAAACGGCGGCCGUAACUAUAACGGUCCUAAGGUAGCGAAAUUCCUUGUCGGGUAAGUUCCGACCUGCACGAAUGGCGUAAUGAUGGCCAGGCUGUCUCCACCCGAGACUCAGUGAAAUUGAACUCGCUGUGAAGAUGCAGUGUACCCGCGGCAAGACGGAAAGACCCCGUGAACCUUUACUAUAGCUUGACACUGAACAUUGAGCCUUGAUGUGUAGGAUAGGUGGGAGGCUUUGAAGUGUGGACGCCAGUCUGCAUGGAGCCGACCUUGAAAUACCACCCUUUAAUGUUUGAUGUUCUAACGUUGGCCCGUAAUCCGGGUUGCGGACAGUGUCUGGUGGGUAGUUUGACUGGGGCGGUCUCCUCCUAAAGAGUAACGGAGGAGCACGAAGGUUGGCUAAUCCUGGUCGGACAUCAGGAGGUUAGUGCAAUGGCAUAAGCCAGCUUGACUGCGAGCGUGACGGCGCGAGCAGGUGCGAAAGCAGGUCAUAGUGAUCCGGUGGUUCUGAAUGGAAGGGCCAUCGCUCAACGGAUAAAAGGUACUCCGGGGAUAACAGGCUGAUACCGCCCAAGAGUUCAUAUCGACGGCGGUGUUUGGCACCUCGAUGUCGGCUCAUCACAUCCUGGGGCUGAAGUAGGUCCCAAGGGUAUGGCUGUUCGCCAUUUAAAGUGGUACGCGAGCUGGGUUUAGAACGUCGUGAGACAGUUCGGUCCCUAUCUGCCGUGGGCGCUGGAGAACUGAGGGGGGCUGCUCCUAGUACGAGAGGACCGGAGUGGACGCAUCACUGGUGUUCGGGUUGUCAUGCCAAUGGCACUGCCCGGUAGCUAAAUGCGGAAGAGAUAAGUGCUGAAAGCAUCUAAGCACGAAACUUGC
rnacentral:rRNA from 1 species